rnacentral:rRNA from 1 species
CCUACGGGGGGCUGCAGUAAGGAAUAUUGGUCAAUGGAGGAAACUCUGAACCAGCCAUCCCGCGUGAAGGAUGAAGGGGCUCUGCCUUGUAAACUUCUUUUGUCUGGGGCGAAAAAGCUCGAUUUAUCGAGAACUGACGGUACCAGAAGAAUAAGCACCGGCUAACUCCGUGCCAGCAGCCGCGGUCAUACGGAGGGUGCCAGCGUUAUCCGGUUUCACUGGGGUGUAGGGGUCUUAGUAAGGCAGUGUUGAAAGGCCGUGGCUUAACCAUGGAAUUGCCAUUGAUACUGCAGAGCUUGAAUGAGGUUGAGGUUGGCGGAAUGUGACAUGUAGCGGUGAAAUGCUUAGAGAUGUCAUGGAACACCGAUUGCGAAGGCAGCUGACUGGACCUAUAUUGACGCUGAGGCACGAAAGCGUGGGGAGCGAACAGGAUUAGAUACCCCUGUAGUC